UGCGAAAUAGCUCAGUGGUAGAGUGCCUGCCUAGAAUGCAUGAGGCCCUGGGUUCAAACCCCAAUACUGCAA